rnacentral:sRNA from 1 species
CUGCUCUUCUGUUCCUCUUUCCCUGGAAGCUGCUAGCAGGCCUGGACAGCGAGUCCGCCUCCAGCAGCAUCCGCUUCAGCAAGGCCUGCCUGAAGAACGUCUUCUCGGUCCUGCUCAUCUUCAUCUACCUGCUGCUCAUGGCUGUGGCCGUCUUCCUGGUCUACCAGACCAUCACAGACUUUCGUGAGAAACUCAAGCACCCUGUCAUGUCUGUGUCUUACAAGGAAGUGGAUCGCUAUGAUGCCCCAGGUAUUGCCCUGUACCCCGGUCAGGCCCAGUUGCUCAGCUGUAAGCACCAUUACGAGGUCAUUCCUCCUCUGACAAGCCCUGGCCAGCCGGGUGACAUGAAUUGCACCACCCAGAGGAUCAACUACACGGACCCCUUCUCCAAUCAGACUGUGAAAUCUGCCCUGAUUGUCCAGGGGCCCCGGGAGGUGAAAAAGCGGGAGCUGGUCUUCCUCCAGUUCCGCCUGAACAAGAGUAGUGAGGACUUCAGCGCCAUUGAUUACCUCCUCUUCUCUUCUUUCCAGGAGUUCCUGCAAAGCCCAAACAGGGUAGGCUUCAUGCAAGCCUGUGAGAGUGCCUAUUCCAGCUGGAAGUUCUCUGGGGGCUUCCGCACCUGGGUCAAGAUGUCACUGGUGAAGACCAAGGAGGAGGAUGGGCGGGAAGCAGUGGAGUUCCGGCAGGAGACAAGUGUGGUUAACUACAUUGACCAGAGGCCAGCUGCCGAAAAAAGUGCUCA